UACGGAGGGGGCGAGCGUUAUUCGGAAUUAUUGGGCGUAAAGGGCGCGUAGGCGGCCCUGUAAGUCAAAGGUGAAAUCCCUCGGCUCAACUGAGGAACUGCCUUUGAAACUGCAGGCUUGAGGCCGGGAGGGGGUAGCGGAAUUCCAGGUGUAGCGGUGAAAUGCGUAGAUAUCUGGAGGAACACCGGUGGCGAAGGCGGCAUCCUGGACCGGCAUUGACGCUGAGGCGCGAAAGCCAGGGGAGCAAACGGG
rnacentral:rRNA from 1 species